rnacentral:rRNA from 1 species
AGAUUGAACGCUGGCGGCAUGCCUUACACAUGCAAGUCGAACGGCAGCACGGGAGCAAUCCUGGUGGCGAGUGGCGAACGGGUGAGUAAUACAUCGGAACGUGCCCAAUCGUGGGGGAUAACGCAGCGAAAGCUGUGCUAAUACCGCAUAAGAUCUACGGAUGAAAGCAGGGGAUCGCAAGACCUUGCGACGAAUGGAGCGGCCGAUGGCAGAUUAGGUAGUUGGUAGAGGUAAAGGCUACACCAAGCCUUCGAUCUGUAGCUGGUCUGAGAGGACGACCAGCCACACGUGGGACUGACGACGACCGGACCAGACUCCGUACGGGAGGC